CUUGUCGAUUGUCGACCAUCACGCGAUCGGUCUGUCGCCUCGUAUCUCCGAGGCAGGCGUCGCUGAUUACAUCGCGCUGCUGAAGCCGCGCGUGAUGUCACUGGUGGUGUUCACUGNUCAUCGCGCCCGGUCAUUUCCAUCCUGUGCUGGCGAUCACGUCGAUCCUUUGCAUCGCCGUCGGCGGUGGUGCGGCGGGUGCGCUGAACAUGUGGUACGAACACGACA
rnacentral:misc_RNA from 1 species